UACGGGGGGGGCAAGCGUUGUUCGGAAUUACUGGGCGUAAAGGGUUCGUAGGUGGCCAACUAAGUCAGACGUGAAAUCCCUCAGCUUAACUGGGGAACUGCGUCUGAUACUGGUUGGCUUGAGUGCAGGAGAGGAACGCGGAAUUCCAGGUGUAGCGGUGAAAUGCGUAGAUAUCUGGAGGAACACCGGUGGCGAAGGCGGCGUUCUGGACUGCAACUGACACCGAGGAACGAAAGCCAGGGGAGCAAACGGG
rnacentral:rRNA from 1 species